GCAGCGAAAUGCGAUAAGUAAUGUGAAUUGCAGAAUUCAGUGAAUCAUCGAAUCUUUGAACGCACAUUGCGCCCAUUAGUACUCUAGUGGGCAUGCCUGUUCGAGCGUCAUUACGACCCUUAAGCCUAGCUUAGUAUUGGGAACCUACGUGCGGCAGCUACCCUGUAGCUACCCUGUAGCUCCUUAAAGACAACGGCGGAGACGUGGAGUCCUCUGAGCUUAGUAACUUUUCUAGCUUCUGAAGGCGCCGCGGCCCCUGCCGUAAAACCCCCAACUCUUUAGUGGUUGACCUCGGAUCAGGUAGGAAUACCCGCUGAACUUAAGCAUAUCAAUAAGCGGAGGAAAAGAAACCAACAGGGAUUGCCUUAGUAACGGCGAGUGAAGCGGCAACAGCUCAAAUUUGAAAGCUGGCCUUCGGGUCCGCGUUGUAAUUUGUAGAGGAUGCUUUUGGUUAGGUGCCUUACGAGUUCCCUGGAACGGGACGCCUUAGAGGGUGAGAGCCCCGUACGUUUGGUUACCGAGCCUCUGUAAAGCUCCUUCGACGAGUCGAGUAGUUUGGGAAUGCUGCUCUAAAUGGGAGGUAAAUUUCUUCUAAAGCUAAAUACCGGCCAGAGACCGAUAGCGCACAAGUAGAGUGAUCGAAAGAUGAAAAGCACUUUGAAAAGAGGGUUAAAUAGCACGUGAAAUUGUUGAAAGGGAAGCGUUUAUGACCAGACUUUUUCCUGGCGGAUCAUCCGGUGUUCU
rnacentral:rRNA from 1 species